UACGUAGGGUGCGAGCGUUAAUCGGAAUUACUGGGCGUAAAGCGUGCGCAGGCGGUUCGUGAUGUCUGAUGUGAAAGCCCCGGGCUCAACCUGGGAAUUGCAUUGGAAACUAGCGGGCUGGAGUGUGGCAGAGGGGGGUGGAAUUCCACGUGUAGCAGUGAAAUGCGUAGAGAUGCGGAGGAACACCGAUGGCGAAGGCAGCCCCCUGGGCCAAUACUGACGCUCAGGCACGAAAGCGUGGGGAGCAAACAGG
rnacentral:rRNA from 1 species